rnacentral:rRNA from 1 species
UACGUAGGGUGCAAGCGUUAAUCGGAAUUACUGGGCGUAAAGCGUGCGCAGGCGGUUGUGUAAGACAGAUGUGAAAUCCCCGGGCUCAACCUGGGAACUGCAUUUGUGACUGCACGGCUGGAGUGCGGCAGAGGGGGAUGGAAUUCCGCGUGUAGCAGUGAAAUGCGUAGAUAUCGCUUGGAACGCCAAUGGUGAAAACAGCUCGCUGGGGGUGUGCUGACGCUGAGACACGAAAGCCAGGGGAGCGAACGGG